GAUCCUGGCUCAGGAUGAACGCUAGCUACAGGCUUAACACAUGCAAGUCGAGGGGCAGCAUGGUCUUAGCUUGCUAAGGCUGAUGGCGACCGGCGCACGGGUGAGUAACACGUAUCCAACCUGUCGUCUACUCUUGGCCAGCCUUCUGAAAGGAAGAUUAAUCCAGGAUGGGAUCAUGAGUUCACAUGUCCGCAUGAUUAAAAGGUAUUUUCCGGUAGACGGUGGGGAUGCG
rnacentral:rRNA from 1 species